rnacentral:hammerhead_ribozyme from 1 species
AUUUAACUGACGAGUCUCAAAUAAUACGAAACGACUUUCCUAAAU